rnacentral:lncRNA from 1 species
UACACUCCACUCUUUCUUUCUCUCAUUUUAUAGUCUUGUAUAUAGUUUUAUUUUCUUUAAAAGUUAAGUAUUCAAGAGUUGUGCAAAGUUUCAAGGAAGCCAUCCAAGCAAUUCAUCACUAGUUCUUAUUUCUAAACUCUUAAUCUUGUUUAUUUCUUUCAUUAUCUUUAUUGAUUAUGGAAUAUUUAUCAAGUAUUGUUGAGUUUUAUUUAAGUACUAUGUGUAACUAAACUCUUAUACUAGGGGGUUUGAUGCAGCUUAAUCUAUUUUCCAAUUUAUGCAAUUAGAUUUAUUUUUCCUUAUUCAAGUUAUGAUUUAUUAAUGAACUUAAUGCUUCUAGGCAGAAUUUUCCCCUAGAUUGAUUUAUUUCAAUUAUCACUAUCGGAAGAAGGAUCUUU